rnacentral:rRNA from 1 species
CAACCUGCCGACAACACUGGGAUAGCCUUUCGAAAGAAAGAUUAAUACCGGAUGGCAUAGUCUUCCCGCAUGGGAUGAUUAUUAAAGAAUUUCGGUUGUCGAUGGGGAUGCGUUCCAUUAGGCAGUUGGCGGGGUAACGGCCCACCAAACCUACGAUGGAUAGGGGUUCUGAGAGGAAGGUCCCCCACAUUGGAACUGAGACACGGUCCAAACUCCUACGGGAGGCAGCAGUGAGGAAUAUUGGUCAAUGGACGAGAGUCUGAACCAGCCAAGUAGCGUGAAGGAUGACUGCCCUAUGGGUUGUAAACUUCUUUUAUACGGGAAUAAAGUUAGCCACGUGUGGCUUUUUGUAUGUACCGUAUGAAUAAGGAUCGGCUAACUCCGUGCCAGCAGCCGCGGUAAUACGGAGGAUCCGAGCGUUAUCCGGAUUUAUUGGGUUUAAAGGGAGCGUAGGCGGGUUGUUAAGUCAGUUGUGAAAGUUUGCGGCUCAACCGUAAAAUUGCAGUUGAUACUGGCGACCUUGAGUGCAACAGAGGUAGGCGGAAUUCGUGGUGUAGCGGUGAAAUGCUUAGAUAUCACGAAGAACUCCGAUUG